ensembl:lncRNA
AUUUCUGACGUUUCAACUUUGAACUGCCAGCCUCCCAAAACCAUGCCAGUUUUCCGAGCACGGCUGCCAACUCUCUUUUAUUAUUAAUUGCAAUGAAUUUCGUGCUGCUCACCCUCCCUCUUUCUCUCUCUCCCUCCACCCUCUAUCUCUAUCUCUCUCUAUCUCUCUCGCUCACUCACUCCUCCUAUAAAAAUACGUGCGUACUCCUGCAUCAGUUUUUCUCGUUUUUUGUAUGUUUUGUAAUUUCCUUGGCUAUUUUCGCAUGGAUGUAAUAACGCGACUGGAGAUGAUAAUGGGCUUCUGGGCUGAGCGAGUGUUUUAGCGCCUCGUGUGAUGUCAGUCUACAAUAAAACUAAAAGGAUUUUGCAUUGGAUUGUAUUCAUACCUGACACCUGCAUAUUAACAUUCGAGGAAGAAGUCUACCUACACAGUAUCUGGAUGCCACUAUUGUUUUUGCAAUACUGUUUGGUUAGUGACACAGACAUGGCAUGUAAGUAUGAUUUAACCUUUUAGACGUGAGUGGACAGAUCACGAUUUCACUGUUUUCUUUAUUGUUUAUUACUGUCUUUAAACAUUCAGCUAGCAGAUGAGUUAUCCGAAGCUGUUGCUCCAGAUUUGAAGGGUUCUCCGUGUGCUUUGUAAGUGUUUGUCAACGUUCUGUGCCGUUUUACCAUCCCAGGCUGGCGGCCCUCUCUGUGUGUGUGUCUCUCUUGCGGUGUUUUAUGGGCUGUGCGCUGCGGUGCGCUGACCUCGCUCUCACCCCGGUGCCACCCAGCCAGUGCAGGACUCAGGCACCACUGGCCCCUGCCAAAAUCCCACAGCGCCACAUCUGCUAUCCAUAAACGCAAGCCACUCUUGCUCUCAAUCUCCUUCUCACACCCCUCCGUCCCCCUCUCAAACAUAUUUGCUUACUCUUGUUUUCCCAACUGAGCGGCACUUAAAUUAUACUCCUGCACAAUCUCUGUUUUACAUUCAAUUUAAACACUCAGUGGUUCUCCUCUUAUCUCUUCCUCCCCUGCAAUCCAUCUCUCUCUCUCUCUCUCU